GAUGAACGCUGGCGGCGUGCUUAACACAUGCAAGUCGAACGGAAAGGCUCCUGCUUGCAGGGGUACUCGAGUGGCGAACGGGUGAGUAACACGUGGGUGAUCUGCCCUGCACUUCGGGAUAAGCCUGGGAAACUGGGUCUAAUACCGGAUAGGACGAUGGUUUGGAUGCCAUUGUGGAAAGUUUUUUCGGUGUGGGAUGAGCUCGCGGCCUAUCAGCUUGUUGGUGGGGUAAUGGCCUACCAAGGCGUCGACGGGUAGCCGGCCUGAGAGGGUGUACGGCCACAUUGGGACUGAGAUACGGCCCAGACUCCUACGGGAGGCAGCAGUGGGGAAUAUUGCACAAUGGGCGCAAGCCUGAUGCAGCGACGCCGCGUGGGGGAUGACGGCCUUCGGGUUGUAAACUCCUUUCGCUAGGGACGAAGCGCCAGUGACGGUACCUGGAGAAGAAGCACCGGCUAACUACGUG
rnacentral:rRNA from 1 species